AAAAAAAAAAAUAAUUUUCUUUUCUAGUGAAGAAGCUAGAAUUUGAAUGUGGGACAAGAAGACCCUUUUGAGCUUUAUUAUUUAUUUUUUUGAAAAACUUUAAUAAUUUGGUUGGGGCGACCAAGGAAGGUUAGAUCUUCCUUAAAUAACUAUGAUCUGUUGUUUUCGAUUGAAGGAAUAAGCUACCUAAGGGAUAACAGCGUAAUUUUUUUUGUGAGCUCUUAUUUAAAAAAAAGAUUGCGACCUCGAUGUUGACUUAUAAUUUCCUUUUGGUGUAGCAGCUAAUAUGGUAGGUCUGUUCGACCUUUAA
rnacentral:rRNA from 1 species